rnacentral:rRNA from 1 species
CAGUCGCCGCGGUAAAACGUAGGUGGCAAGCGUUGUCCGGAAUUAUUGGGCGUAAGGGGCUCGCAGGCGGUUCCUUAAGUCUGAUGUGAAAGCCCCCGGCUCAACCGGGGAGGGUCAUUGGAAACUGGGAAACUUGAGUGCAGAAGAGGAGAGUGGAAUUCCACGUGUAGCGGUGAAAUGCGUAGAGAUGUGGAGGAACACCAGUGGCGAAGGCGACUCUCUGGUCUGUAACUGACGCUGAGGAGCGAAAGCGUGGGGAGCGAACAGGAUUAGAUACCCCCGUAGUCCCUGUCUCUUAUAC